ACGUAGGGGGCGAGCGUUGUUCGGAUUCACUGGGCGUAAAGCGCGCGUAGGCGGUUUGGCAAGUUCGUCGUGAAACCUUCACGGCUUAACCGGAAGAAGCCGGCGAAAACUGCCAGGCUAGAGGAUGGGAGAGGAAAGUGGAAUUCCAGGUGUAGCGGUGGAAUGCGCAGAUAUCUGGAAGAACACCAGUGGCGAAGGCGGCUUUCUGGACCAUUCCUGACGCUGAGGUGCGAAAGCCAGGGGAGCAAACGG
rnacentral:rRNA from 1 species